ACACGCGCACUUCACAGAGUAGGCGUUCCCUAACGAAAAUAUGCCGAUAUAUGCUAGCACGGGCCGAUCUCGCUAUCGCUUGCUUGGUUCUUCCCACCUCCUUGCUUGUUCUGGCCACUAUGACUCAUCUGUUCCCAUUGGAAACGACAGGCUAUGGUCUAUCUUGGUAUAGUUUAAAAAACAUUUGUCCAUGCCUUUCACACACCAUUGACCUCGCGAGCAUUGUGCGUACUUCUCGCGCGACUUCUUUCCAUCUCAAGAGCUGGAGCUUGAUUGAGCGCUCAUGAAGAGAGGAAGAGGCGAAACAAGAGGGAUAACUGCCCAAAAGCUGUCUUCACCAGCAGAUGUUUAUUCCUGUCGACACAAAAGACUGAGAAUCCAGAUGGCUGGUCCGACUCCGACAGUAUAUGCCGGGAGAGCCAUGUUUCCAUGAAACAGAGUAUGUUUACAAUCCCUGAUGUCUCUCUGGUAAUACUGCAUUGGUCCUCACAGAAUGCUGACACCACUAUUUGAAGCAUCAGCGAGUUCUUGUUUUUUGUUGUUGGUGGUGACGUUGGGUCCGGGUGCCACCACCGAUGGAACCAGGGGUGCCUUAGCUGGCUCGAGAGGUUUCCUUGCUUCGGUUGGCUCGGCAGGCUCCCAUCCCAUGUCAUGCCUCAGCCGACCCGUAGGGCUCCAACUCCUCAGCCGGCCCGAAGGGCUCCCACGCCUCAGCCGGCUCGUCGGGCUUAUAUACCUCAGCCGGCUCGUCGGGCUUAUAUACCUCAGCCGGCUUGUCCAGCGCCCAUGCCUUGGCCGGCCCGUCAGGCUCGCCCAGGUGGGACGCCUCAUUACACGCAUCAGCGAUCAGUGGACUCACCUGGACUCCUUUACGUUGUUGACCGCCUCCUCUAUAUCUGUCUGUUCCUCAGUUUUGUUCCCCGUGUCAGCAUUAUUGUCGUAAGGUAAUUUUGUUCCCCCUGUCCAGACGCUGUUCUUGUUUUGUUUGAUGUCCGUUUUCCAUUAAAUGUUCACUCCCUGUACUUGCUUCUCGUCUCCAGCAUCGGUCCUCACAGAUGUGUUGUGUUGGAUUUACCCCCAACAUAGUGCUUUGUAUUCAGGACAAAAAGUUAAUUUCUUUGCCACAUUUUUUACAGUAUUACUUAAGUGCCUUGUUACAAACAGGAUGCAUGUUUUGGAGUAUUUAUAUUAUAUACAGGUGUCUUCUUUUCAAAUUGUGAUUCAGGUUAAUAUUGUAAGGUAUCUACAAUGUUGUUGAUCCAUUCUCAGUUUUCUCAUAUCACAACCAUUCA